UCCUAGGAUGGUUGAGAGACUUAAUGGAUAUUGAUUCCAUUGCUGUGAGAUGCCUGAAUGAAAGAGAAAAUGGAAGGUUUCAAACUCAUUUGUAUUAAAGACCUGUGUGUGUCUCUGUCCCUCUCUGUCUGUUUCUCUGCCACAAUUAAAACACAGUCAUGUGAAUUAAGAGUGGGGAUGUUGUUAUAAAUAUCACAACAUAAAAUCUCACUGAUUUUAUCUUUUCUCCCUGUAGACACUCUGCCAGUUGAACUGGAGGAAAAAAAAGAGAAUACUCUAGGAUCACACAGAUAGGUGAAUGUGACUCUGGAUCCAGACACGGCUCAUCCCCAACUCCUCCUCUCUGAGGGUCAGAAAAGUGUCAGACGGGGAGACAAAUGGCACAGACUGCCCAACAAUCCCAAGAGAUUUGAUACCCUGGAGUGCGUACCGGGCUGUGAGGGAUUCACAUCUGGGAGAUACUACUGGGAGGUGCAGGUGGGAGGUGAAAUAAUCUGGGCUGUGGGGGUUGCCAGAGAGUCUGUGAGGAGGAAGGGAUUGUUCUGCUUUAACCCUGAGUGGGGGAUCUGGGCUAUGGAGCAGUGGUGGGGUGAGUUCCAGGCUCUCACCUCCCCUAAAACUCCUCUGCCCCUGAGCUGGGUCCCCAGGAGGAUCCGGGUUUGUCUGGACAAUGAACAGGGGCUGGUGACAUUUCUGGAUGCUGAUAAUGAUGCCCCAAUCUUCACUUUCCCACCGGCUUCCUUCAGUGGGGAGAGAAUCCACCCCUGGCUUUGGGUUCAGAGUGAACAAUCACAGCUCAGACUGUGUCCCUGACACUUGGGGAAAACAUCCCUUCUAAAGACCCUGAAAUCAACUUCUCUAGCCUCAGACACCCUAAUUUCUAUGACCCUGGAGAACGCUUGUCUUCCUGAAAGCCUUCUACCAUACAAUCAGUUUGUAUGACCCAUAAGGCUUGAUGGGGCCUCUGAAUUGUUAAAGUAUAAAGACCAAGAUGCUACUGAAAUGGAGAAACCAACCGCAUUGCUCCAAGAAUUGUGCAACCUGUUUGUCACUGGCCUGUGUGAUCCUUGAGGAGUGUAGCUGACUGUAGGGGUCAGAGACUGUCAGAUAGGAGCUCAGAGAGUGGGAGAAUGAAAGUGAAAGAAAGUGACAAGGAGAUACAUGAGCCAGGGUGACAGACGGACUGGGAGAUGCUACUGAACGUGAUGGUGUCAUUCAUUACGUAAUCCAUCUAUUUAAUUCACUGGUUCAUGAAAAGUGGAGCCAUUUUAAUGCCUUGAAAAAGUGAUUUCUGCAAAUGUUCCACUUUUUCUCUGUUCUGACCUUACAUAAUCACUCCCUAAGUGAUUGAAGCCCUCAUUUUUUUGUUAACUGAACAUUUUUAAUAAAUAUAAAGCUUUUUUCUG